rnacentral:lncRNA from 1 species
UUUUCUCUCUCCUCUUAUUUCAAACAGAGCACCCAAAAUUCCUCUCUCUCUCCUCUACUUCCCUUUAUUGAUUCUUCACCCUAACCAUUCCAUUUCAUAUUCCACCACUAAUUUUCUCCUCCAUUCAAUUAGCCAAUCACAUGAAGCAAACUAUGAUUUUCUUCUUAGACGCUUCCCCAACUUCUUUAACUUGUGUUUGUUCAUCUUUUUCUUCCUCUUCUUCUUCACGCUGUCAGCCCAAAUCGUCCGGGAAUUAACCGAAACAACAUCUUCACCCACAGAGUGAACGAACCCGGUUAAAGAAAUUGGGUUUAGAAAAGCCCCGAAUGGAAAGCUUGGGUAGAACUGUAACGAGUGAGAAGGAUUUGUGUUCUCUGUUUUGGGCAGACACUGAAAAGGGAAAGGAUUGAUUGUAUUGUGAUUGGGCAGCUCGGUUUCUGUGAGAUUAUUCAAAAAUGGAGUGAGAAUUGGUUUAUUGAAAUUGACGAUGAUUCUUUUGGUAGGUUUUUAGGAAAAUAAAAGCCAUUUUUGCAGCGAAAUUUCUACCGGAUAGUUGAUUUGGGAUCCAAAUGUAGAAAGAAUAA